UGAUGUCGUAACUGCUAGUGUUCACACUUCUGCUUCAAACAGUCGUUUAAAGCAGAAAAUAGUAAAAAAGCAAAACACCACACGAGCCUUUAAAACCGAACAGUCACUUAUAUGCGUAGAUUUUUGCUAUUUAAUUCUGUACAACGAAUUUUUGGAAGAAAUGAAAGCCGAAAAAAAUUAUCAUCUGACUUUCUAACGACAUUGAAUGAAUUCAUUGACGGCAGUUGAACCUUAGCCGUAAAGGCGAAGUUAUCGUGAAGCGGCUGAGACUUAACAAAACAAGCUGGAUGGUUUGAAAAGUGGCAAACAUGCCGGUAUUUCUAUGGAUGUCCGGUAUUGUUAUCAUCCUCCUCACCCUCUGGAUACUCACCAGGUUGUUGGUAUGGUUGAUGCAAUGGAAACUCCGCAAACAUUUUCAGGCGGAAGUGAAAGUUGGCUGGACAAGUAUUUUCAAUUUCGGCAAAGUCUAUCUUAAACUACCAAAGCAAGGACUCCGCGUGGAAAUUGAAAACAUUGGUUUAACCAGUUGUAUUUUGAGCCCUCGCACAAUUAGGAAACUUCUGGUUGUUUGUGCCACCGACAUCCGAAUCCAAGUGGAUAUUUCUGGUGACAUAGAGCCACGACGUCCCCGAAAGCCGCGAGUUUCUCACUCUACACCACCCAACAUUGAUGAAGUAAAGCUAGCUCGUAUUUUGAGCAUUUGUCAAUAUGUUGGAAUUUGUGUCCAGAACGUGACUGUGAUUUUGAUCAAAACUUUAAUCCCACACUGCAUGCUUCAUGUGACUGGUCAAGAAAUCACUGUUGAUAUUGCCAGCAAUGACACCAGUAUCCAAGCAAUGUUGAACAUCAACGGAAUGGUAUGUCGAGCUUUACAGAGUAUUUCCCAGGAAGAAGAUUCCCCGUGUUUGGCCGAAAUUGCUAUUGGAACCUACUUCGAUAUAUCUGUUGCAAGGAACCUCAAGUCUGUAAAGUCUGCUCGUAUCCUGGUUAGUGAACCUCGUAUGUUUAUAUCAGAAGGUUUUCUUAGAAGUAUUCCAAAAGUAAAGAUGAAAACAGUUGCUGAAGAAACUCCCCCAACUCCUGAAUGUGAAGAAAUGGUGAAAGAAUCACCAGAAGAAACUGCUGAUAUUUUUAUGAUCAUUCCAAAAGAAUUUGGUUUCUAUAUUUCCAAUUUGGCAGUCAGUAUCACCCAGGAAGCCAAGAAUAGUAACCUGUCUGUUAAUUUGAAAACAUUCCACUUAGAGAGCCACCACCAACAUCAUCAUCAUCAAAGAUCUGGCACUGAACACAUCAACAUCUCUGGUUGUUUGUUAAUUGAAGAGUUCAUAGUGACCUCUCCGUCCUCCGAAUAUGCCCACCUGGAGAAAUCCCACUUGAAAUUACAGAUCAAUAAAGAUCAAAGUUUAUUGGAUGUGAAUGUAUCAACGUGCCAUCUUCAUUGGCAAUGUGACGAAAUGAAAGAAUGGGAGUCAAUUUUGACUCAGAUUCUGUCAAGUUCUGAGAAAUCUACCAGACGGCCAUCGACAGCUCCAAAACUUCCUUCCAGUUCUUCCAAAAAAUCUUCUCUACACCUGCUACUGUCCAGAACUAUAAACCACAAAGUUAAUCUCGAAUUAUCCAAUGUGUUGUGUGGAAUUUCAACAUAUACUUCAUCAGGUUUAGUCUUUGGUUUGACACACCUGAAAGCUACCUGGAACUCCAAGAACUCCAAAGUUGGCAUUAAAAAUGUUCCAGAAUGUUCUUGGCUUGACUGCUAUGAUGUUUCAGCUGAACUGGAUGUCCAGUCUGUCUAUUGUCAACUGGCCACCGUCAAAGUGUCACAUGACAGUUUCAACAACAAGAGACAUUACUGGGAUAACAUUGUCUACUUGGGAAUUAUUAUGAUCCGGGUUUCCAAAUUGGGUAAGGAACUUAAGGUGAACGGUAUGAAGGACAACAUCCAGUUGGAAUGGUCGACCACUGCCAUGGACACAUUGGUUGAACUGGUCAAAUAUUUACCAAAGUGGAAGAAGAAAUCAACACCUUUGGUCCUCACCACGACCACCACCACCUCAAGUAGUUCUGCCGCGGAAGGAGGAGUGCAGUCAUUGGCAGAAGAGACUGUUACAAGUGAACAGUCAGAACCGGUGGCCCCUACGUGGUUCAGCUCCCUGUUAUAUUCCAUCAACUACAAAGUGCUCAAUCUCAACCUUUUUGCUUGUAACAACCAAAAAGUGUGCCUGCUGUUAUGCCUUGAUGCUGUGUCUCUUGAAUACCGACAACAUCAGGCAAUUAUUCCGGUGGUCAGUUGUAAAUUAGUUUACCUUACCAUUGCCGACAGCUUCCUGACUCUGCAGAAAUGUGCCGAUAUUAAAGACUCUGUCAUUCAGCUCCAUGAAGUCCAAAUCAACUAUAAACAGGUGGAAAAGGGCCUCACUCUCUUAAUUCCACAUGAAAUCCAAUUAUUCUGGGAGACAUGCAUUCAUUGCUGCCUGAUACAGUUCUUAGAAGAUGUUCAGAACCUCCAGAAGAAGCUGAAAGAGUUAUCUGCUGCUAGUGGUGCUGCUGCUGUUGUUAGUGAACCAAAAGUCCAAAAGACAUCGGUGCUAUCAGAUGUGAAAUCUAAGAAUAUUUCCAUUAAUCUUAUUCUACAAGCAAGAGCUGUCUUUUCAGCAAAUCUUCCUGGCAACCACAAUAUGACAAUCUUCAUUGAUGGUUUAGUCCUGUCAAAAACUUCCAAAGAUGUUCUAACCGAAAUUCCUCAAGUCGACAUCCACUUUGAUGAUAAUUCUAUAUUUUAUAUUGAAGAUCUAUUGUUGGAGAGUUUUUCAGAGAGUCCACUCCAAAGAGAGCGAGAAGCUUUCAAAGAAAUUUCUCCCUAUAACCGGGCUUUGAUCGUCUCUAUGAAAAAGUUAUCAAUAAAUUUCCCAUACGAAUAUAAUAUUGGGGUUUGUUUUGAAGAGGUGAUUAACAUAACGAAGUGGCUGAAGUUAGUUCACAAGAUCAAACGGAAAGAGUUCACAUCAAGCAGUAAACUACCUCCAGACAUCAAAAUCAAAAUACAGGAGUUCUGUAUAACCCUUGGAGACGAUCCCUUUGAAGUGACCCUUAAUUUUAAUUACGAGCUCUUACAAGACGAGUGGGUUGAAAGUGAGAAACGACGUUUUGUUCUCGACCAAAAAAUCCUGAAUAUACAGAAAUCUCACGGAUUACUACCAUGUAACAGGUUUGAAGAGCUUUACACAUCUCUGGCGAAGAAAAGUGCUGAGAUUUACAUUCAACGUUCCAAACAGCUUUAUGCUAAGUCACCAAUCAAAGCUCAGUUGUUGAGCUGUCAGAUGGAGAAUCUUGAAAUUGUGGCUCUGGCCGACCUCUCCUAUCAUGGCAAGGAGGCUGUGGUGGAGCACAUGAAACAGGUGGACCCUGACAGUCCUUAUCCCGAGGAAGGUCUCGAGUUCAAUACCCUGUGGUGCCGAAUGGUGACAAUGGAUGUGACGGACAUCCACAUCUUCCUGCGAGAUUACCCACAGUCAAUGUUGGAGGUGAAGGACAUGCAUGCCUGGGGUAAAAUGAUCGGGGCUGCGCAAGAAGGGAUCAAGCGAUCCAAACGUAUGUGUUCUGUUGAAAUAAAAUCACCAUGGGAAGAUAUGGAAGUUGAACGUAGCCUACCCCCCAUUAAGUUUUUCUAUGAUUUAAGCUGUGAUAUUGAAGAUUUAACCAUGGCAUAUGGUUCUUGCUGGGAACCAACAUUUGCUCAAGUGAGUUUGAUGAUGGAAAUGGUGAAUAGGCCUUCAGUUGACCCGAGUCGACCCCUACCGUUUUGGGACAAGUUACGUUUACUGUUUCAUGGUCGGCUUACUAUGUCUGUGCAACAGAUGCGUUGGCUCUACCAUGCCUCGUUUGACCCCUGUAACAUUACAGAAUUCAUGGACUGGACAUGGAGAGACCUAAUCCUCGACUGGACGAAUGGUAAAUUUGCCCUGAGGGGAGAUUUAGAUGUCUAUGCACGGACUGCUUCCAAGUAUGACGACUGUCGACUCCUACAUUUACCAAAUCUGAAGUUUUGUGUCCGACUAGAAUGGAUGUGUCUAGGAGACCCAAAUGACCACCAUUCUGUCAUGCCUUGUGCCCCCGACAAAGUCCCAGACUAUUCCAUGGAAGCACAUGACUCUUUCAAAGGAUUCCGUUCCCAACAUUUAAACUUGAACAUCACACUGGAGACCAAACCCUCUGCUGACAAUCCUGGUGAUAUCCCCAUUUGUCUGUUUUUUGCUAGUACUCUCAGGUUUAUGGACCGAAUCAAGCUGUGUCUUAGUCGAGUGACCAGACCAAUUAAGCGAGGAAUUCUGUUCCAAAACACAAAUCCUAAGAAACCACAGCUAAGCAGACAUUACAAACAAGUGAAGAUGUCAGUGAAUUUCCCUCAGUUCUCCAUCUGCUACUGGAUGUCCUACUCUAAACAACAUGGUGUCGAAAUGCACAGCAGGUCCUUCAAUCUGGAGCUUUGCAAUGAAUUGCUGCUGCUACGUGCCGAUGAUGGACUGAUUCACAGACCACAGUCCAGCUGGGGCAUCCGUUAUUUAACAUGUGAACUAUCAACUACAAAACUGUGGCUGUGCAGUGUACCAUCUGCUACAGAACAGGUGGCAUUGAAGGUUUGCCAAUAUCUUGAUGUCCCCUACAGAGCCCCCGUGGAGAAAAAUGUCUUCCUCAGUGUCUCCAGAGUUUCCUAUCAACGAGCUGAUGAAACUACAACUGAAGAUGAAGUAAAAGAUGUCCAGAAGGAGACACCCACUCAUAUGGUACAGGUUUAUGACAUGAAAGGAGCAUGGACUCGCAGUAACCGCACAGUGCUCCUUGGGUUGUAUGACAGUUACAUCAAGGCCCAGUCACUAAAACGUAAUCUAUCUUCUGAAGCACUGAAAGGUUUCAAACUGGACAACACCCGACAAGGUUAUCGCAGCAAGUCUUCUUCGUUGAACACCUCUGGUAACGUAGAAACACCCCUAACUGCAGGGCCAAUACCCCUCAGUCAACUUCACUCUGGACAUGCAUACGCUAUGCUAAACAAGCUCGUUUCAGAAACAGAUAAGAAGUCGGUGGCUUUCACAGAAGAGCCAUCUGAAGCAAACAUGGAACAACUUCAUGGCAUUGCAGCAUGCCAAACAGACGAUGUUAUCAAGAAGAACUGGUUAAUUGAACUGUUCAACAGUCAAGUAAUGUUAAAAGGUUGUGAAACUGUUGGCUAUGUCAUAGUCAGUGCAGCAAAGGCACAGAUUCUCUCUUGUAUCCACAAACCAUUCUGGAAAGGUUGUCAACUGUGCAGUAAGACCACUUGGGUUGGCUCUCUGGAAUGCAUGCAGUAUUAUGCCACAGUAGAUCUUGGAGAAGUAAUUAACGAUGAAGACAUUGCAUGGCUCAGUAAAGAAAACAUUGAAGACCGGUCAGAGUUUGACCUGGAAGGUCUACCAGAAAUGGUCAGCAGUGGCCAGAGUGUUGGUGGUGUUGUCAACAGCACAGUUGGGGAUAAUGGACUGAAUAAUGGUGGUCAAGGUGUCCAGCUUCAAAGGAUCGUCUCUCGAUGUCGAUGUCAGUUUUUUUAUGCUGGCUAUGGGGAAGUGGAAUCUGAACAAUUUCCAGAAGUUCUGCCGAUGGAAGACCCAUCCGACAUGAUUCAGACUGAAGAAGGAGUGGACACGACAACCGUGCUGCAUCACGACCUCAACGUCUGCACAAACUCUUUGCAGUAUGCCACAAUCUUAGAUAUUAUCAACAAUCUUCUGCUCCAUGUUGAACGAAACAGGAAGCAAGCCGGUGAGAAAUUACAAAGUAUGAGGUUCCAACUUCAACUUUCCACUGUCGAAGAUCAGCGGUCACCAAUUCUUCUGCUCCAAGAGAAUGUCAGAAAACAAGUUCAAAAGCUGCGCAAACUGGAGAAGGACCUUUAUAUGAUCCACAAGGCUCUUGAAGAUGAGUGUGCUGAUGCAGAAAGCUUACACCAACAGAGCAAAAUAGUGGAGAUGCACCUGUUUGAGUGUAAAGAACAAAUCAAUGGCUACAAUGAGGAACUAACCAUACGUAUCAGCUGUUACAAAGAAAGCCAGGUCCAGUCUAAAUCACAGCUACAGACCACCAGAGCUCAGCAUGCACAGGUUGUACGCAGAAAUGAAGUGUGUUUUAAGUUUGCACGCUGGCGAUUGACCGAAGCAGAUGGACAACUGGGGAUCGCUGAUCUUGUUCUACGGAAUUUUGUAUAUACUAAAGUAAACCGAGAUAAUGACACAUGGUCCCACCAGUUGGAAUUGGGAUGGGUGCGCAUGACCAACCUGAUACCAAACCCUAUUUAUAAGGAUGUUCUUGUACCACGAGAUCCACUGGGUACCGAAGGGGAGAACAAACAGAUGGCCCUUCGUAUUUUCUGCAGUGAACGUCCUCCUGUUGGAGGCAUUGCCGUGAAAGAACACUUUGAAGUGAAUGUGGUGCCGCUACAGAUCCAACUGACCUACCAGUUCUUUAAGGCCAUGAUGGUAUUCUUCUUUCCAGAGCGCAAUAUAGAUAUUGAUGACCAACAAGAGGUGGAAUCGGACGAUGGAGGUGGUUCAAUGCGCCGUAAAACAGACAAAAGAAGCUCCAUGAGAGAGAAGAGAGACACCUCAAAGAAGACAGCUUAUGGCUCAACCUCCACUGAUGACAUUGACAAGAUGAAGGAGAGAGCAGCCAACAACAACACAUUUCUCUACAUCAAAAUACCUGAGGUGUCACUUAAAGUCAGCUACAAGGGAGAGAAAGAGAAAAACAUUGAGGACCUUCAUGACUGUAACCUGGUGUUACCAACCCUGGAGUACCACAACUGUAUCUGGACAUGGUUUGACCUUCUCAUGUCUAUGAAGAACGACAGCAAGAAGAUUCUACUGGCACAGGCCCUCCGUCAGAAGUUUCAUGUACGGGCACGGGCCCCUAAUGAAGUACACCUGACUGAUGUACAACAAGAGGAAGACAAAGCUAAGAUGCUGCUGGGAGCCAAGCUGCUGGCUGGUCAAGAAAAACCUGUCAAGAAGAGUUUGUUUGCAAAGCCCCCAAAAUAAACGACUGUUCCUUUUCUGGUAUUGCUUUCUGCAUAUCAAAGUGUGUAGACACACUUUUGUACCGAAAUGUAUAUAUUAUAUAUAUAUAUAUAUAUAUAUAUAUAUUAUAUAUAUAUAUAUAUAUAAUGGUGUAAUAAUAUUUAUACUGGCGUGUGAAUCAACAAUUGUUGUACAGAACUCUAUACAAGAGGCAGAGUAGAGUAAAUAAAUAAAUGAACAUAUAAACAAGCAAAUAAAAUAAUUUAAAUCGAGUUGAAAAAACAGAAAAGGAUUUAAGGUUUAUUGUUUGUCUCAUCUGGAGAAUUUAUGAAAUUUAGGAUUUCGAUAAACGACCUGAUGAAACUGCAAUAAAUUGUAAUUGUAUACUGUCUUUUCAACAGGAUUCAAAUUAUUUGUGUUUUUAUAUAUAUAUAUGUGUGUGUAUGUAUGUGUAUAUAUAUAUAUAUAUGUGUG